rnacentral:rRNA from 1 species
GAUCUUGGCUCAGGACGAACGCUGGCGGCGUGCUUAACACAUGCAAGUCGAACGAGAAUCUACUGAAGGAGGAUUCGUCCAACGGAAGUAGAGGAAAGUGGCGGACGGGUGAGUAACGCGUGAGGAACCUGCCUUGAAGAGGGGGACAACAGUUGGAAACGACUGCUAAUACCGCAUGAAGCAUAGGGGUCGCAUGAUCUUUAUGCCAAAGAUUUAUCGCUUCAAGAUGGCCUCGCGU